AAACCGGGCUAUACGGAGGCAUAUCACUGUACUGUGUAGCGAGUUUCUCUUCACGAUGGUGA
rnacentral:sRNA from 1 species